UCAUAGCAGUCUGCAAAUUUGACACCACUUGUUCACUGGAAACAUUCAAUUUGGAUGCAACAAUAGAAUCAUUUUUACACAUCUGCGCAAUAUCAUCAUUCAUUGUUGAGCUAGCUUCUGCAGCUGGAACCAUUUGAGCAGAAACAAUUACAUCAGGAGUCACAAGCAUCCCUCUCAUAUUUGACACCACUUGUUCACUGGGAACAUUCAGUUUGGAUGCAACUGUGGAAGUGCUUUUACACAGCUGUGCAAUAUUAUCAUUCAGUGUUGAGCUAGCUUCAGCAGCUGGAACUAUUUGGCCAGAAAUAAGUACAUCAGCAGUCCCAUUAGGAGGAAUCCCUGGCAUGUUUGACACCAACUGUUUACUGGA
rnacentral:lncRNA from 1 species